GCGCCCUUCGUUAAUCAGAUUCUUGACAAAAUGAAAAUUGGAAGAGGUUUUAUUGUCUUGACAAAAUUGAGAAACAAAAAUUAGAUUAUACUUGAUAUCAGGAGAUCGGAUAGUAUUACAAUUGCCCAUGGAGAUUCCCUCUGAGUUGUGAUAAUCAUUAGCAUUUGUUAGACUCUGAGCACCGGAGGCACUAUGAUGAGUAGCCAGCGUGUCAAUGAUCCGAGGAGUAUUUUGGGGGCAUUUGAUGUUGCAAAGUUUUCUUUAGCUUGCACGUAAUUGUGAGAUUGACUGCGACAUACUCGAGCAGAAUGAAUGGGACGAUCACAUAGCUGACAUACCAGUGUGUUGGUAGGUUGAGCAAAAUUCUACUGAGGUUUCCAAGUUGGGCAGACUAUUAUUAUUUUUGUUGAUGUUUGAAAGGGUGGACAGAGUUUGUUGAGCAAAAACAGUUGUGAUGUGUGUAGAUGACAAUAAACGAGGUUCAUGGUGAUUGAGGUCCCGAGGAAGAGCUUGUGGUCAAAGAGCCUUUCAUAUAGUUCUUCAUAGGAUAUAAUGGAGUCUCGAGCAUAGAUGACAGUGGAAAUUUCUCGGAAUUCAGGUCCUAAUCCAGGAAGGAUUUUGACAACAAGUUCUUCAUUGGAAAUUGGAGAUUCAACAGCUGCAAGUUCGUCACAAAGAGAGCAGACUUGAUGAAGACAAUAGGUUACAGGAAGAGUUUCUUCGGUGAGUCAAACUACUCGAUAAACUUAGAAUCUAUAUAUCUACUACAACCUGCUUCGUUAGGGAUUUAAAACUUUUAAUUUAAAUAAAUUUAAUUAUAAAAAAUUAUAAAAAUAUAACAUUGUACUUUUUAAAAGAUUUAUAAAUAAAUAUAACUGAAAUUGAUGUUUUCAAAAAUUCACUCUUUUUUUUUGUC
rnacentral:lncRNA from 1 species